rnacentral:rRNA from 1 species
GAGGAAAGAGGGAGGCGUGCUUAACACAUGCAAGUCGAACGGAAAGGCCCUGCUUUUGUGGGGUGCUCGAGUGGCGAACGGGUGAGUAACACGUGAGUAACCUGCCCUUGACUUUGGGAUAACUUCAGGAAACUGGGGCUAAUACCGGAUAGGAGCUCCUGCUGCAUGGUGGGGGUUGGAAAGUUUCGGCGGUUGGGGAUGGACUCGCGGCUUAUCAGCUUGUUGGUGGGGUAGUGGCUUACCAAGGCUUUGACGGGUAGCCGGCCUGAGAGGGUGACCGGCCACAUUGGGACUGAGAUACGGCCCAGACUCCUACGGGAGGCAGCGGUGGGGAAUAGUGCACAAUGGGCGGAAGCCUGAUGCAGCAACGCCGCGUGCGGGAUGACGGCCUUCGGGUUGUAAACCGCUUUCGCCUGUGACGAAGCGUGAGUGACGGUAAUGGGUAAAGAAGCACCGGCUAACUACGUG